GACGAACGCUGGCGGCGUGCCUAAUACAUGCAAGUCGAACGCAGUGGGGACGGGUGCGUAACACGUGGGUAACCUCCCAUCAGAGGGGAUAACACUUGGACACAGGUGCUAAACCGAUACUGAUGGAUGGACCCGCGGUGCAUGAGCUAGUGGGGUAAGUAACGGCUCACCAAGGCCACGAUGCAUAGCCGACCUGGGAGGGUGAUCGGACACACUGGGACUCAGACACGGCCCAGACUCCUACGGGCGGCAGCAGUAGGGAAUCUUCGGCAAUGGACGAAAGUCUGACCGAUCAACGCCGCUUGAGUGAAGAAGGUUUUCGGAUCGUAGAACUCUGUUGUUAGAGAAGCGGUAUCUAACCAGAAAGCCACGGCUAACUUCGUGCCAGCAGCCGCGGUAAUUC
rnacentral:rRNA from 1 species